rnacentral:misc_RNA from 1 species
GUGAAUCAUCGAAUCUUUGAACGCAAAUUGCACUCUCCUCGAAUAGUAUGCCUGUUUGAGGUUCAGCCUAUAAAAAAUCGACAUCCUUGCUGUUUCGCGGUGGCGUUCGUCGGAACUUGGGUCAUCUUAAUUCUUUUGGUUUUAAGCGACUUAAAAUUUUCUUUUUGGUUCCAUGAACGUUUCUAAGAUUUAUGUCUUUACACGUUUAAGGUAUCGAUUUUUAUUAGACGUGACCAUCAUAUCGGAUCUCGCUCAUAAUCUUUCAUCAC